CACGGGGCUGCCCGCCGCCGCCAGCCCGUUGGCCAGAGGCCGCCGCCGCUCGAAGUACAGCCCCAGCAUGAUGAGCGACGGCUGGAAGUUGAGGGCCAGGCCCAGGCCUGCGGGCGAGGCGGUGCUGUGCCGGGGUCCCCGGAGAGCCCCUCCCUGGCCCCCACAGGAGGGAGGGGCCAGGCCCGGGAACCCAGCAGAUCCGGGAACCCAGCCGAGGGACUUCGAAGACUGUCCCUCAUAGGGAAACCGAGGACAGAUCUUGCAGCAAGAACCCCCGACCCCCAACCCAGCGGAGAGGAGACCAGGGGGCCCUCACCUGUGAGCACCCCAGCGGUCAGGUAGAGCUCCAGGAGGCGCGUGGCAAAGGAAGCUAGGAUCAUGCCCGCGGAAGCCAGCAGCCCACCCGCCAGCAUCACCGGGCGACAGCCAAAGCGGGUCACGAGGAUGCUGGACACGGGGCCUGUGGGCAGGGCAGGGUCACCACCCGGGUCCCGGGAUGGCUUGAGUCCUCUAAGGAAUAAGGUCACCUCCGGCUCAGGGACACAGAGAGGAGGGCAGUGUCUGGCCAAGGUCACACAGCUUGGAGGGGACAGGCCAAAGAGACAGCAUCCUGCGAGGGCAAGGCCCAGAGCACCCCAUCCUGCGAACCCAAACCCCAAGCGGAGCGGGGGCUUCCGCACCCCUUUAACCUUCACAGCCUCCAAGUCCCGCCCUGGCACAGACUGGGAUUCCUCCGCAGCCCCGCCUCCCAGGAUGGGAACUCCAGCAAGCCCCCACCUACAGGGCGCUGAAGGACGAGGGGAGGACGACGGGUCCCACCUGACUCUGCACCUCUGCAGGCUCCCUCUGAAGGACAACUGCUGGCCCCUCAGGGCCUCAGGUGGAAGGCGUCGGGAAGUGGAGCAGGCUAUGUGAGUCAAGGAUGGAACGAUGGUCCCAGAACAUCCCAGGAGGGUGUGACAGCCUCCAUCUAGAAGGUUCUAUCCUCAGGUCCCCAAGGCAUCUGCAGCACACCGUCCUCUGCUGUGGGUCUGUGAAGCAGCCACUCCAGCAGCAGGUGUCCCUAUCGUUGGCGUUCUCAGUCAUCUCUCUCCCCACUGACCCCCUUCCGUUCCUGUCCCUGUGGUCACCCGCCCAGCUAUGGACCUUCGCGCCUAACUAUGAGUCCCUCCAUACAUCACCUAUCCCCCACUCACCUGUCUAUACUCCAUCCCCCGUGUAGCCACGAAUCCAUCCAGCACCCCCUCACCACUCACACCUCUCCAAUCACCCAUCAGUGUCUGUCCACCACAUCUGCGCAUCCUCCCAUGUCCCUAACCACCCAGUCAGUGACCCCCCCCCCGCCAUUUAAGGCCAUCCACUUGCACACACAGACCUCCACCUACCCAGACGCACAUCCCCUGGUCCACCCAUUCGCCUGUCCACCAUCCAUUAAGCACAGGACCACUCAUCCAUCCGUGGGCUGGUGUGGGCAGCCACCACCCGCUCUGCCCAUGCACGCAUUCAUCCUGCGCUGCUUCUCUCCUGCAGCAGGAGUGGGCACCGUACACUACCCUGCCCAUGAAGCCCCGAGGGGGCACUGCCUGGCUCCAGCCAGCCCCAUCUGCCCCGUUUUCCCCUGCAGGACAGUGGUGCCUGUCCAUUCCCUCUGCUAGCUGCCAGCCCUGCUGUCCUCCGCACUUUCUGGCAACCUCACUGUAUGAAACUCCCCAAAUCCUCCUCCACGUCAAGUGUCAAAACAGCCCAGUUUAAGUGCUUUCAGGAUUUCCACGGAGCCUGACCGCAAAGAGGCUCCCACUCACGCGGACGAGCCCUCCAGCUUGCCGUAGAGCCAGCCGUUCUGGGCCUCGGGCACCAACACCUCCACCACGUCCCCAGCGGAGAAGCGCAGCAGCGUGUGGUUGGCGCCCUCCGAGUGGGAGACCAGGGCGCGGACUCUCCUGGCGCCCCCGCCGCCGCCCGGGCGCUCGCCAAAGGAGUUGGAGCGCGAGCUUUGGGCGCUGCCGCUGUAGAGCGAGGCUGUGGGCGGGAGAGCGCGGCGGCACGUGGGCAGGAAGUUCUUCCUGGCGUCUGCCCUCGAUCCCUCCUGCUGCAGCCCCACCCC
rnacentral:lncRNA from 1 species